rnacentral:lncRNA from 10 species
AGGCAGAGUCGGGCGUCCGCGUCCUCCCGGCCAGCUCGACCGUCUUCUCUAUUGGGGUGAGUGCUGGGUCUACGAGGUGGAAUCUUUGGGGGAAACACCCUCAUUCUGUUUUAGUUUUAGGACUUUGCACCAGUGACACCGCUGACCUGAUUCGAAAAGUGUGUCGGCCUUGGAGAAGGGUGCAUACUUAAGUUCAGCAACCACUGCAGAAGGAAAGAUGCUGUGAUGAGAACCGACUGCUGGGAGUUUCCAGAGCGGGACAAAAUGCGGCUGGGGUGGGUAGGAUAGGCAAACAGGCAUGGGAAAGGACAUUGCAGGCGCCGGUAGUUGACGUUUACUUCCCUUUUGACCGGAGCAACUGCUCAGGUUCAGGUGACUCGGGUUCCUGCAAGAGCAAGGGGUCCGGGCUGGCCAAAGCAGACUGAGGAGGGCCUGUAGGGUGGAGGUGAAAAGGAGGCGUGGGGCCUUCAAUGCUAGGCUGGAGAGCUUGCAUAUAAUUUCCCUGGCAUAUAAUUUCAAACCAUCGAGGGGUUUUGAGCAGAGGAGUGAUGUGAUCACUGCAGCAUUCUGAGCAGUACUUAGAUGUUACUUGUGCAUUAUUUUUUUCCAGUGGUGGUUUCAUAUUGUUCCAUGCUAAAGAGCAUUCACAUACUUUUCCCUUUUUCCAAACUUUUCCUUAGCUGAGACGUUUUACUUCGAAAUAUCUAAGUGUAACAAAUUAGCUCCUUUCUUUUUGGGAGGGUUAAUUGGUGUUUGGUUUAUCAAAUGAUUGGCCACCCCGCCCAGUGAUUACCCUUAGUAUUUGUGAGGCACAUUCCGGAGGAACCCAAAGCAUCGCCAUCUCCUCUUCAUCCCCACUUCCCAGUGGACAGGUGAUUGCAUCCAGUUUGUAUAGAAUCAGGCUUGGAGACUUGAAUUACCUGAGGAAAAUCUGCAGCUGAUAUGACUUUCUGCUGAUAGAACUCAGGAAGACCCUGUCACUGGCCAUUGUGACAUCAGACCAGCUGUCCCCUGGAUGCCUGCACCCAUUUUUACACAAGACUCUAGCCAUGUCAUUCAAAACUUUCCUGAAAUGUUUUGAAACGAAAUGCUUGGUCAGGUGACUCAAGAAGGUUUAAGUCCAGAGUGCAGAGGUUAACUUCAAAGUCUGUAAAGUAUUCUUUGGUCUCAAUCCUUGUUAAUGGGCUUCAUGAGGCUGCCAGCUCUAAAGUAGACGCCUCUGGUUAGGGGAUAAGGUGAGAGAAUGUGGGCAAACAUCCAAAUAAGUGCUUUGAAACCUCAUGUAUAUAGAGUUAAGACACGGCUAUUCAUUGGCUGUCACUACCCCUAGCAAAACAACUCAAAUGUUGCAUUUGAGUUGUUGCCUUCGACUGAAGGCAGGCCUAUCAAUGAUUAAAAUAAAGCUACCUAGUAAUAAACUCAAAACAUCAUAAACUCAACACUAUCAUCUCUUGCUUGCCUCACCUCAUGAAGCACUCAUUCCACCUGCUGGUAGAGUCAGCCAGUUAAAAAUGUCUUUCCAUUCCUGAGUUGACUCUAACCCAGGGAUUAUAAAUACAUUUGAAACAGUGACAUUCAGUGUUAUUUAUGGAAGCUGCACAAUCCCCCAUCCCCGCCAUUGGCAGUGCACUUCUUUACAUCAAACUGAUGAAAACUAAUCCUCUUAUAAGCUGUUUGGAGUUAUUUCUAUUAUCCAGACUGCCUUCUAUCUUAGAGUUUUAUUUCUAACUUUUCCUCCUCCUCUACUCUAUAUCACCCUACUUAACUCCUUUGCCAUUACAGGCACACCAUUUUCACAUACCUCUUCAGGAAUUUAAAAUAUUCCAAAAUUCAAAGAGUCUCAUUGUUGCUGGAAAAAGGGGUCCAAUCCAGACCCCAAGAGAGGGUUCUUGGAUCUCACGCAGGAAGGAAUUCAAGGCGAGUCACAGAGUGCACAGUAAGAGGUAGUUUAUUGAAAGCUACUCAGUUACAGAGUAAGGUGUCCUUAGAAAGCAAGAGGAGGAACGUGCCAUCCCUGUUUUAAACUCUUCUUAUGUAGGGGUCUUAACCAUGUUAAAGCUAAGUUAUGUCUACAUGCUGGUGGGCUGACAGCAUGACAAUUUAGGAGUUUGUUGAUUGAAAGAAAGUUAUCCUUGGCAUUUGAGUGUGUAAGUACCUCAAAGCAUGAUUAUAACUAUCUUAAAACCAUAUAUUAUUACUCAAUGUCAGGACAUCUGGACAUUCUGCUGUCAUAGGAGUUUGUCCUCGCAGGCAUUACUAAACUGCUCCCUUAGCCAAAACAUCUUAUGGCCACGGGUGGUGACUGGCAAGGAAUAUGCCUUGCUGGUUUUAGAUGGAGUUGUUUUUUUUUUUUUUUUUGAGACAGAGUCUCGCUCUGUCACCCAGGCUGGAGUGCAGUGGCGUGAUCUCGGCUCACUGCAAGCUCCGCCUCCCGGGUUCACGCCAUUCUCCUGCCUCAGCCUCCUGAGCAGCUGAGACUACAGGCGCCCGCCACCACACCCAGAGAAUUUUUUGUAUUUUUAGUGGGGACGGGGUUUCACUGUGUUAGCCAGGAUGGUCUUGAUCUCCUGACCUCGUGAUCCGCCCGCCUCAGCCUCCCAAAGUGCUGGGAUUAUAGGCGUGAGCCACCGUGCCCGGCCCCUAGAUGGAAUUGUUUUUUAAAAUGGUAUCAACCUGGCUCUCCUAUGCUCCUAUUUCCCUAACAUAAUCCUCGAUUUAUAAGAGAUCUCUUAAUCUUAAGGAGAGAUGAGGUGUGAAGGUCAUUCUUCUGUAACUUCUUCUUGCUGAUUUUAUGGGCAUAAGAUUGGAGAAGUAAAAAUUAUCUGUUUGCCCCAUCUAUGGGCCCAAAGGUGUCUUUAUUUCCUGGGUCAGAAAAUGGGAUGGGCUGGAAGCCUUGUGCCAGCAUUAUGUAGAAUUGUAAUCUAGAAGACACAAACUUCACUAGGAGUUAAACAAGUAAGGUGCUAAGAUUGGUAAUAACCAGACAGCUAUCAAAGGUCCUAAGAAGGGCAAAAAAAACAGUGAGACUCAGGAGGGAGCAUCUUUUUGAGAUGGAGUCUUGCUCUGUUGCCCAGGCUGGAGUGCAAUGGCAUGAUCUCAGCUCACUGCAACCUCCACCUCCUGGGUUCAAGCAAUUCUCUGCCUCAGCCUCCCAAGUAGCUGGGAUCACAGGUGCCUGCACCACACCUGGCUGAUUUUUUUUUUCAAUCAAUUUAGAAAGUUUAUUUUGCCAAGGUUGAGCACACACUCAUGACAUGACACAGCCUCAGGAGGUUCUGACAACACGUGCUAAAGGUAGUCGGGGCACAGCUUGGUUUUAUACAUUUUGGGGAGACAUGAGACAUCAAUCAAUAUGUGUAAGGUGUACACUGGUUCAGUCUGGAAAGGCGGGACAACUCGAAGUGGGGGCUUCCAGGUCAUAGGUAGAUAAGAGACAAAAGGCUGCAUUCUUUUGGGUCUUUGAUCAGCCUUUCACUGAAUACACAAUUUAUAUGGAGUGGGGAGUAAAGGAAUAGUCACGCUGAUGCCUUAGUCUGGCUCAGUGGAUCUGCAUUUUUGCAUAAACAAUAGGGCAGAAGAAGCAAUCAGACGUUCAUUUGUCUCAGGUGAGCAGAGGGAUGACUUUGAGUUCUGUCCGUUGUCCUGCACCUGAGAACUGGGCAGCCUCGUCCUGAGCAUGACGGAGAAGGGGACCUGGGGCUAGGGAAUCCCUGAUUCAAUCAUGCCACUCCCCAGGAGACGUUCGGAGCCCAGGACAUGUCGGGAAUGAGGAGAUACGAGGUGGCCGAUUUUUUGUAUUUUUAGUAGAGACAGGGUUUCACCAUGUUGGCCAGGCUGGUCUUGAACUCCUGAUCUCAGGUGAUCCACCUGCAUUGGCCUCCCAAAGUGUUGGGAUUACAGGCGUGGGCCACCAUGCCUCGCCACAAGGGCACUUUUAAUGGUUGAUCAGUUAAGACAUGGCCUGUCACUAUUCAUUGCCUGUCACUACCCCUAGCAAAACAACUCAAAUGUUGCAUCCAACUGAAGGCGGGCAUAUCAAUGAUUAAAAUAAAGCUACCUAGUAAUGAACUAGGGAUUGAUGUCUUGGUUAUAUUUAUGCAACCAGGCAGUUUGUUCAUAUAUUUUCUGUAGAUCUUCUUCUAUUUGACUGGAGGUGUUUACACGAGUGCAGCAGGGUUUAUUGAUUAUAGUGCAAAUACUCCCCCUUGUUCAACCAAUAAGUAAUGUAGUGCUAAUCUAUUAUCCAUUGCUAUAUUUGCUAAGGAAUCAAGGAAGAGUUUUGAUUUAUCUAAAGCCUCCCCCAUUUUAUAAGACAGUCUGUAGAAUGAAGUAAAGUUUUGAAGAGUUGUCUUGGGAUAGGCAAAUUUUCCCUACGGGGCCAAUAAACCACUGGCAGCCCCAACUCCAGCCAAUAUAAGGCCAGCUGCCUGCUUAGCUCUCAGGUGAGUGAUGUUAUGUAAUUAUAUAUUAAAGAGCUUUGCUUGUUCUAUUAUACAUUGACCCCCGAACCAAACAUUAUCAAUACACUGUGUAUCCAUGGGUUUCCAUGAUCCCAAAUGAGAGACAAGUUAUUUAUAGGCUGAUUGAAUGGAUGACCACAUAGCCACAGGUAUAAUCCGUUGGGGGUGCAAACCUGUAUGGGAUGGGAGUUGUUAAGAAGGUUGAGUACCUGUAGGAGGGACUGAGGAUGUUACUUAUCUCUUUCUUUGCAAAACAACAGCUUUAGAUCUUCUAGGGGUUCACAAGUGUAGGUUGUGGUGUCUUUCUCAGGUGCCUGUGGGGACUUGUAAAAAACAGGUUUAAUCUUGGACAGGUGUACUCAGCUAGUGAGUCCCCGAGGCUUAACAGCAGUGGGGGUGCCGUGCUUAACAAUACUCCCCAAUAAGGGCCCUUUCAUUUUAGUUGUAAUUGAUUUUGGGGAGAUCCUCCUUUCCAAGGUUUUUUUUUUUUUCUUUUUUUUUUUUUUAACAGAGUCUUCCUCUGUCACCCAGGCUGGAGUACAGUGGCAUGAUCUUGGUUCACUGCCACCUCCAUCUCCCAGUGCAAAUGAUUCUCCUGCCUCAGCCUCCUGAGUAGCUGGGAUGACAGGUACCCACCACCACACCUGGCUAAUUUUUGUAUUUUGAGUAGAGACGGGGUUUUGCCAUGUUGGCCAGGCUGGUCUUGAACUCCUGACCUCAGGUGAUGCACCCACCUCAGCCUCCCAAAGUGCUAGGAUUACAGGCGUGAGCCACUGUGCCCAGCCUUCUUUCCAAGUUUUUAAUAAGACUAAGUCUCCUGGUUGAAUAGGGGAGCUACGAAUAUUUAUGGCAGUGGCCUGCCUGACACAGGUAUAUUGAACAAACAUGCAUGUAACAUAUGACUCUGUUUACGUUGCGGUGAAGACUUAACCCCACACCUGGUCAUAGAUCCUGUUUAUAGUUUGAUAUCUUAUUGCCAUAAAUAAUCUGUUCUGUAAGUUUUAUGAUUUCUAUUUUAAUGUUAAUGCUGGCCAGUUGUAUCUGAAUCCCAAGAGGGGAAAUGUGUAGUGAGGUAUGUCUGACCCCCAGCUUCCC